CCAACAGAACACUGGACUGUAACAAGAUGAUGAGUGUUAUUCACUUAUUAAACAUAACUAUGUAUAUCUAUAACUCUGACUUAAAUACUACAGCUGUGGAGGUUGAGACCCACUUGAACUCCGAAAACUACCAAAAAAGAGCAGAAUAGUGGCUCCUUCCCAUUGUGGUCACUUCUUGGAGGAAUCCUCGGGAUGAUGUCACUCUCCUUGAUCAUCUUUGUUUGGAUCCUCUGACUCAGUGCAAGACAGAGGACAACAGCAGGAUUUGGUGUACGCACAGGUGAAAGUCAACAAGCCAGAAAACUGUUUAACACAGAGGAACUCUGAGGCGAAGAAAAUAUGAAUGUCUAAAAGGAGAUCACAUUACAGAAACGUGUUAACAAAGAAAAACACACGUGCUAACACAGCAGCCAGACCCAGAACUUCAGCAGAAAAUGUUAUUUGCAGCAUCAGUUCACUUCAUCCUCAACUUCAUCCAACACUUUUCUUGACAAAUGAUAUUUUCC